UACGUAGGUGGCAAGCGUUGUCCGGAAUUAUUGGGCGUAAAGAGCUCGUAGGCGGUUUGUCGCGUCUGCCCGUGAAAGUCCGGGGCUCAACUCCGGAUCUGCGGUGGGUACGGGCAGACUAGAGUGAUGUAGGGGAGACUGGAAUUCCUGGUGUAGCGGUGAAAUGCGCAGAUAUCAGGAGGAACACCGAUGGCGAAGGCAGGUCUCUGGGCAUUAACUGACGCUGAGGAGCGAAAGCAUGGGGAGCGAACAGG
rnacentral:rRNA from 1 species